rnacentral:rRNA from 1 species
GAUGAACGCUGGCGGCGUGCCUAAUACAUGCAAGUCGAGCGAACAGACGAGGAGCUUGCUCCUCUGACGUUAGCGGCGGACGGGUGAGUAACACGUGGAUAACCUACCUAUAAGACUGGGAUAACUUCGGGAAACCGGAGCUAAUACCGGAUAAUAUAUUGAACCGCAUGGUUCAAUAGUGAAAGACGGUUUUGCUGUCACUUAUAGAUGGAUCCGCGCCGCAUUAGCUAGUUGGUAAGGUAACGGCUUACCAAGGCAACGAUGAGUAGCCGACCUGAGAGGGUGAUCGGCCACACUGGAACUGAGACACGGUCCAGACUCCUACGGGAGGCAGCAGUAGGGAAUCUUCCGCAAUGGGCGAAGGCCUGACGGAGCAACGCCGCGUGAGUGAUGAAGGUCUUCGGAUCGUAAAACUCUGUUAUUAGGGAAGAACAAAUGUGUAAGUAACUAUGCACGUCUUGACGGUACCUAAUCAGAAAGCCACGGCUAACUACGUG